CUUGGUGGCCCGUGGGCAUCCUCAGGCCGGGCUCGGGGGCCGCGGGGGACCCCAGCUCCCCUUCCUCACCUAAAAUCUCGCUGUGCCCCUCCCUCCCUGGCGCCUGGAGCCGAGUCCAGCCUGCGAUCCUUUGGCCGGACCUCGGUGACUUCGGUCGUCCCCCGCCCCCAGCUUGGGUUCCUGCGCCCCCAGUCCUAGCUCCCCUCUUUUGUAUCCCCCUUUAUUCCCCCUCCCCCCAUUCAACCCAACUUCAGCCCCGGCGCUGCGCCCCCCUUCUCUGGCCGGGCUCGAUUGGCCGCUUCCUGAGCUGUCAGACUCGAGUCCAGCGCGCUUAUUGGGCGAUUCUCUGGCCCGGCGACCGUGCCAAAGAAGGGCGCGCCGGGCGGGGGGCACCCGGGUAGCGACUGCCGCAGGGAGCCAGAGACUGAGUCCCUGGAGAGACCCGAGGGGCCCCAGAGCCAGACCCGGAAAUGGGCAGGGGAGAUGCUGAGACUGAAGAUCUCGGAGGCUCAGAAACACAACGACGGAAAAGAUGAAGAUGCAGUGGCCAGGCUCCGCAGCACGGAGGCAGCCACAGGCGAGCAGAGCAAGGGUGCAGAGGCCCUGCUGGACCCGGACCCCCGCAGACCUUCCCAAGCAAGGCUCAUCACGCCUCGGCUGCUUCCAGUCCCCCUAGAGGACUCCUUUCCCAGCUCCUCUCUCUCUUCUCAGAGUUGUUUUCCCAGAAUCCUAUGUUUCCAUUUAUAAUACGAAACUUGGGCUGGGCUUGUGGCUCAGUAGCAGAGCCCUCGCCUACCAUCUGUGAGGCUC
rnacentral:lncRNA from 1 species